UUUCUCUCUCUCUCUCUCUUAGGGGCGCCGGAAUGGAGGGGGGUUGGCCCCAAUUGUCAACCAAGAGAUGGGGGCAAAGGGGCGGGGCCAAAAUCUAUAAGAAACCCUUUUCCUAAUUAAAUUUUAAUAAAAAAUUGCAUAAUUGGAUGAAAAAAAAAAUUAAUAAUAGUAAAGGAAAGAGAGAGAACCCUAUUAGCAAAAGGAAAGUGAACGUAAAGGUACGUAGGAGGAAAACUAAACGAGUACCCGGAUAUCCGAAGGUAGUUCCAUUUCCUUCUUGCGUUCCCAAAAUGCUGAGAAGAAAGCCCAGCAAGAUCCAACUCCAGAUCGAAGACAAAGAAGAGCUCGACGAAGCCCGCAAACAUACCGCCGCAGCCGCCGCCACCACUUCCACAACCGCCGCCGCCACUGGAGCAGCCACUCUUCUCCAUCAACUCGACCGCCACUCCAAAGACCCUUCCGUCCCCCACCGCAUCGGCCUUUCCUCCCAAUAAUCUUAAAAAGGCCCCCCAAUAUAGCAGUCAAUAUCUUUUCUUUCUUUUUCCUUUAUUUGUAUUUUCUCGGAACUCAAGCAGCUUUUUCAUGGAGGUCAAGGUUAAUCUGCGGCUUCCAGACACGGGUUCUGUCACCGAUGUUCUGGCCCCGUUCCAGGAGGAACCCCUCUUCGACAGCCUGGACAGUCCAAGUUCGCGUUUUUUGGGUCCGGGAAGCUGCCGUAGCAAAGGUUAUUAGCUGCCAGUGGUGUAAAAGAUCUCCUGGUGAUAAAGCAAAGCUUGGACUCGGACACCUUAAAGGAAUGGCUGUUCUCGCCCCCUGAAGGCUGAAGCAGCUUACUCCAGAAAGUGAGAAACUCUCCAAGUUUGUAAUAAGGCCAUAUUUUAUAUAAUGUCACCAGCUUUUCUUGUAAACUCGAUGAAGAAAUUCACCGACUUUGGUUGUUUCUCCUCAUUGAUUGUUGGCAUUCAUCAA